UCCGGAGGGUGCAAUCGUUAUCCGGAAUUACUGGGUUUAAAGGGUGCGUAGGCGGCUUUAUAAGUCAGGGGUGAAAGCUUGCCGCUUAACGGUAAAAUUGCCUUUGAUACUGUAGAGCUUGAAAGAGGAUGAGGUCAGCAGAAUGUGGCAUGUAGCGGUGAAAUGCAUAGAUAUGCCAUAGAACACCGAUUGCGAAGGCAGCUGGCUGGGCCUACUUUGACGCUGAGGCACGAAAGCGUGGGGAGCGAACAGG
rnacentral:rRNA from 1 species